rnacentral:rRNA from 1 species
GAUGAACGCUGGCGGCGUGCUUAACACAUGCAAGUCGAACGAAGCACUUUAUUUGAUUUCCUUCGGGACUGAUUAUUUUGUGACUGAGUGGCGGACGGGUGAGUAACGCGUGGGUAACCUGCCUUGUACAGGGGGAUAACAGUUGGAAACGGCUGCUAAUACCGCAUAAGCGCACAGCAUCGCAUGAUGCAGUGUGAAAAACUCCGGUGGUAUAAGAUGGACCCGCGUUGGAUUAGCUAGUUGGUGAGGUAACGGCCCACCAAGGCGACGAUCCAUAGCCGACCGGAGAGGGUGACCGGCCACAGUGGGACUGAGACACGGCCCAAACUCCUACGGGAGGCAGCAGUGGGGAAUAUUGCACAAUGGGCGAAAGCCUGAUGCAGCGACGCCGCGUGAGCGAAGAAGUAUUUCGGUAUGUAAAGCUCUAUCAGCAGGGAAGAUAAUGACGGUACCUGACUAAGAAGCACCGGCUAAAUACGUG